rnacentral:rRNA from 1 species
ACCUAGAAUGUCUACUUGGAGGUUGUGCCCUUGAGGCGUGGCUUCCGGAGCUAACGCGUUAAGUAGACCGCCUGGGGAGUACGGCCGCAAGGUUAAAACUCAAAUGAAUUGACGGGGGCCCGCACAAGCGGUGGAGCAUGUGGUUUAAUUCGAUGCAACGCGAAGAACCUUACCUGGUCUUGACAUCCACAGAAGAAUCCAGAGAUGGAUUUGUGCCUUCGGGAACUGUGAGACAGGUGCUGCAUGGCUGUCGUCAGCUCGUGUUGUGAAAUGUUGGGUUAAGUCCCGCAACGAGCGCAACCCUUAUCCUUUGUUGCCAGCGGUUAGGCCGGGAACUCAAAGGAGACUGCCAGUGAUAAACUGGAGGAAGGUGGGGAUGACGUCAAGUCAUCAUGGCCCUUACGACCAGGGCUACACACGUGCUACAAUGGCGCAUACAAAGAGAAGCGACCUCGCGAGAGCAAGCGGACCUCAUAAAGUGCGUCGUAGUCCGGAUUGGAGUCUGCAACUCGACUCCAUGAAGUCGGAAUCGCUAGUAAUCGUGGAUCAGAAUGCCACGGUGAAUACGUUCCCGGGCCUUGUACACACCGCCCGUCACACCAUGGGAGUGGGUUGCAAAAGAAGUAGGUAGCUUAACCUUCGGGAGGGCGCUUACCACUUUGUGAUUCAUGACUGGGGUGAAGUCGUACAAAGGGAACCAAAACCACCUCUUUGGUCUUGCGAACGGUAUGCGGGAACCCUCCACCGCCCUCCAGUAGUUCACCCCCCUCCGGCAUGCAGCCUACCCAGACAUUAACUCACCCGUCCGCCCAUUCAUCAGCCAAGCAGCAAGCUGCCUCCUGCUUGCCUUUCGACUUGCAUGUGUCAGGCCUGACCCCAGGGGUUAAUCUGACGGGGGAG